GAUGAACGCUAGCGGCAGGCUUAAUACAUGCAAGUCGUGGGGCAGCAGGUUUGUAGCAAUACAGAUGCUGGCGACCGGCAAACGGGUGCGGAACACGUACAGAACCUUCCUUUGAGCGGGGAAUAGCCCAGAGAAAUUUGGAUUAAUACCCCAUAGUAUAAUGAAGUGGCAUCACUUUAUUAUUAAAGAUUUAUCACUCGAAGAUGGCUGUGCGGCUGAUUAGGUAGUUGGCGGGGUAAAGGCCCACCAAGCCUGCGAUCAGUAACUGGUGUGAGAGCACGACCAGUCACACGGGCACUGAGACACGGGCCCGACUCCUACGGGAGGCAGCAGUAAGGAAUAUUGGUCAAUGGAGGCAACUCUGAACCAGCCAUGCCGCGUGGAGGAUGAAGGUCCUCUGGAUUGUAAACUUCUUUAUAUGGGACGAAAAAGGCUUUCUAAGUCGUCUGACGGUACCAUAUGAAUAAGCACCGGCUAACUCCGUGCCAGCAGCCG
rnacentral:rRNA from 1 species